AAAAUUCGAGAACAAGCGAGACAUGUCACUGCGUUACUUGUUGAAUUCAAAUAUGGAGUUGAUAAUGAUUACGAAACUGGAGCAAACAUGAAAAUGGCUACGGCAUUGGUUGCACACGGUCGUUAAAUUUGAACAGGACCAAGUGCUCUUCACGAAACUUCUUGAAUUAAUAAUCACUCUGCAUAAUGUUCCCAGUGACUCCCGAAUUUUCUUCAAAUUCCACGGCGAAAACUAAAUUGAAAUAUUUAAGAAAUGAAACAGCGUUUUGCGUCUUUCUGUUUUUAACCUGCCAUCCGAUUAUGGGACCGCGUUUAAAUUUCGUUGAGCGGUGAAUAAACACGAGAAGCUGAACAUUACGAGGUUUUUUAAAAACUCACGUAUCGGAGUAGACAGACGGCAGUCUUCGUUGGUUUUCUAAAGACGGGCAUCUCAAGCACACUCUACACAACACCCAGCUGAUUGAGACGCCAUAUUUUGACGUCAUCGCGUGGUUACCGAAACAUCUUAUAUCGCAUCUUCAACAUCGAUUAAUCGUAUUUAAUUAAUUUCCCGCGAAAAUAUAAUCUUCAUGAACUGUUAGCUACCAUAAAUACAUCAUAAAUACGGUGCUUGUUUUAUAUUAUAAAUUAGAAGUGAUAUGAUGAAAAUAAACAUUUUAAUUAAAUUUAAAGAAUUUAUUUUAACUUUUGUUACAUUAUCAGAAAGCAAUGUUCAUUUAUAAAUUAUAAAAGACUGUAACAGGUACGGGGCGUUAUAAUAAAAGGAUAAAUGCUUGUUUUGGAAUCUAAAAA